rnacentral:tRNA from 1 species
AGUCUUGUAUUCAAAAAAAAAAUGAUUUUAGAUUGCAAAUCUAAAGGUAAAGGGUAACUUUUAAGGCUU